UGGAGGGCAAGUCUGGUGCCAGCAGCCGCGGUAAUUCCAGCUCCAAUAGCGUAUAUUAAAGUUGUUGCAGUUAAAAAGCUCGUAGUUGAAUUUCGGGAUCAAUAUGUCGGUCGUGCCUUCGGUACGUACUGGUAUCAUUGGUCUCUCCUUUCUGACGAACCAUGAUGUCAUUAAUUUGGUGUUAUGGGGAGUUAGGACUGUUACUUUGAAAAAAUUAGAGUGUUUAAAGCAGGCUUUAGCUUGAAUACAUUAGCAUGGAAUAAUGAAAUAGGACGUUCGAACCUAUUUUGUUGGUUUCUAGGAUCAACGUAAUGAUUAAUAGGGAUAGUUGGGGGCAUUAAUAUUCAAUUGUCAGAGGUGAAAUUCUUGGAUUUAUUGAAGACUAACUACUGCGAAAGCAUUUGCCAAGGAUGUUUUCAUUAAUCAAGAACGAAAGUUAGGGGAUCGAAGACGAUCAGAUACCGUCGUAGUCUUGACCAUAAACUAUGCCGACUAGGGAUCGGAUGAUGUUAAUUUUUUAAUGACUCAUUCGGCGCCUUACGGGAAAC
rnacentral:rRNA from 1 species